GACGAACGCUGGCGGCGUGCUUAACACACGCAAGUCGAACGGAAAGGCCCUGCUUUUGUGGGGUGCUCGAGUGGCGAACGGGUGAGUAACACGUGAGUAACCUGCCCUUGACUUUGGGAUAACUUCAGGAAACUGGGGCUAAUACCGGAUAGGAGCUCCUGCUGCAUGGUGGGGGUUGGAAAGUUUCGGCGGUUGGGGAUGGACUCGCGGCUUAUCAGCUUGUUGGUGGGGUAGUGGCUUACCAAGGCUUUGACGGGUAGCCGGCCUGAGAGGGUGACCAGGCACAGUGGGACUGAGACGCGGCCCAGACUCCGGCGGGAGGCAGCAGUGGGGAAUAGUGGGAGAUGGGGGGAAGCCUGACCCAGCAAGGCCGCGGGAGUGGUGAAGGCAUGAGGGUUGGAAAGCACGUUUACCCGGGAUGAGAAUGACAGUAACGGGAGAAUAAGCGACGGCUAACUCCGUG
rnacentral:rRNA from 1 species